UUUUUAUUGGAUGAUAAUUGUCACAUGUCAUGUUCUGAUUGGAUGUCAACUUCAUAAAAGAUGGAAAAAAUUGUUGUUUUUAUUGACCAAUCAGAACAUGACACGUGACUAACGGUCAAU
rnacentral:pre_miRNA from 1 species